GAGUAAUACGUGAGUAACCUGCCCUUGACUCUCGGAUAAGCCUGGGAAACUGGGUCUAAUACUGGAUACUACAUUCUCUCGCAAGGGGGUGUGUGGAAAGGGUUUUACUGGUUUUGGAUGGGCUCACGGCCUAUCACCUUGUUGGUGGGGUAAUGGCCUACCAAGGCGACGACGGGUAGCCGGCCUGAGAGGGUGACCGGCCACACUGGGACUGAUACACGGCCCAGACUCCUACGGGAGGCAGCAGUGGGGAAUAUUGCACAAUGGGCGAAAGCCUGAUGCAACGACGCCGCGUGAGGGAUGACGGCCUUCGGGUUGUAAACCUCUUUCAGCACGGAAGAAGCGAAAGUGACGGUACGUGCAGAAGAAGCGCCGGCUAACUACGUGCCAGCAGCCGCGGUAAUACGUAUGGCGCACGCGUUGUCCGGAAUUAUUGGGCGUAAAGAGCUCGUAGGCGGUUUGUCGCGUCUGCUGUGAAAGCCCGGGGCUUAACCCCGU
rnacentral:rRNA from 1 species